rnacentral:miRNA from 1 species
AUCCUAACUCGGAGCACUUAUU